UACGAAGGGGGCUAGCGUUGUUCGGAAUUACUGGGCGUAAAGCGCACGUAGGCGGACACUUAAGUCAGGGGUGAAAUCCCAGGGCUCAACCCUGGAACUGCCUUUGAUACUGGGUGUCUUGAGUACGAGAGAGGUGAGUGGAAUUCCGAGUGUAGAGGUGAAAUUCGUAGAUAUUCGGAAGAACACCAGUGGCGAAGGCGGCUCACUGGCUCGUAACUGACGCUGAGGUGCGAAAGCGUGGGGAGCAAAC
rnacentral:rRNA from 1 species